AAUCAACCACAGCUUACUGAGUCAACGUCAGCCUUCUAAUUGACCGCCGUCGCUUCCUCGCCGCCGCAUGGGUGGUCGUUGUGUCGGUCGUCCCCGACUGGCCGACUAUGCAGUCGCAACGAUUUCUGCUGCUUCAUUCGUGUUUCCAAGCUGCUAACUGUUAUGCUAAAGAAAGAGGACAUGGACCAAAGAAGAGCCAAUGCAAUGAGUACUGACUGCUAUGCUAGAGACAGCUCCUUUUAAUCUUGCUGAUAACCUUCAAUACAUAGAAGGCUUCUAGGCUUUGAAGUAGAAGGCUGAUCAAAGCUACCAUCAUCUACACUUGGUCAAAGUCAUUGAAGUAGAAGACUGUGGAUGCUGCAUUUAUCAAAGCCAUUGAAGCAGUGCUGGAUUUGAAGGCUUAUUUGGGUGUUACUAGCAUACUUAAAGUAAUAUAUAUUUUCAUGACUUUUUAUGUAUGUUAAUAGUCAAUUGUUGGAAGUACUAUGUUAGACAUACUAUAAUUUUUGUUGUAAAUAAUUUUGAUGUUUAAAUAUAUUUUAAAAGUUUUGGGUCUAAUUGACUUCUCAUA